rnacentral:lncRNA from 1 species
GGACUGCCUUGUCUGGACUCAGUGGGAGAGGAUAUGCCUAAUACUGUAGAGACUUGAUACCCCAAUAUUUUUUAAGAAGCACUGUCCCCCCCAAUAUUUUGAAGAUCAAAAUGAAUAUAAAAAUUCUACUACAGCAUCCUUUAAUAUAAUGACUAAGCUUUCGUGGAACACCCUGUGGUCCAAGAGAAUUCUUUGGUAGAAAGAUGGGGCUUUACGUUUCCUUGACUUGGCUUAAGCUAUUGCCUUUCUUAGAAAUGUGCCUAUGUGUCUUGUCAACUUGAACACAGGGUAGCCUUGCUAAUAUUUGACAGAACUAAUCUGAUGGAAAUACAAAGGAGUUAGAGAUAGAAUGGUAGGAGCUGAAGGGGUUUGCAACCCCAUAAGAACAAUAAUACCAAUCAACCAGAGCUCCCAGGGACUAAACCACCAUCUAAAGAGUACACAUGGACAGACCUAUGGCUCCAGCCACACAUGUAGCAGAGGAUGGCUUUGUUGGGCACCAGUGGGAGAAGAAGCCCUUGGUCCUGUCAAGACUUGACCCCUCCCCACCCCCAGUGUAGGGAAAUGUCAGGGCAGGGAGGCCGGAAGGGGUGGGUGGAUGGGUCGGGGAGCACCCUCAUAGGGUGUCAGGGUGGGGGUAUGGGAUAGGGGGUUUAUGGGCAGGAAAC